AAGUGGUGGACUAUUUGAGAGUAUUGGCCUUUCACCAAUUAGCGAUGAUGUGACUCAUUUUAGAGCAAGCGAUAAGUGCCAAAAAGAGAAAAGGAAAACAAUUAAUGGGGAUGAUUUGUUGUGGGCAAUGGCAACUUUGGGUUUUGAGGAUUAUAUAGCCCCGCUGAAGGCCUAUUUGGCCAGGUAUAGAGAGUUAGAGGGCGACACGAAAGGACCUGCUAGGGGUGCUGAUGGAUCCGCAAAGAAAGAUACAAUUGGAACUCAGCUGGGUUCUGAUGCACAGUUUGCUCAUCAAGGUUCUUUUUCACAAGGUUUCAGUUACUCGAACUCCCAAAUUGAAUAUUGACCAAGAGAAUAGAAUAUGGUCGGCGCCCAAGCAACGGCAAGGAUCCAGCUCCCCGGUGCUGAGUUAAUCUCAGGAUAUGGCGGUCAGUUGAUAUUGGUUGAUGUACCUGGAAUUUUAUACCCAACUCUAUCAAAGAAGUAUGAUGAUGUGAUCUUUGUUUGCUAGUUGUUAUCUGUAAAUCCUGAUAUUAAGUUAUGAACUCUACAUUCUGCUCA